rnacentral:rRNA from 1 species
GAUGAACGCUGGCGGCGUGCCUAAUACAUGCAAGUCGAGCGAACAGACGAGGAGCUUGCUCCUCUGACGUUAGCGGCGGACGGGUGAGUAACACGUGGAUAACCUACCUAUAAGACUGGGAUAACUUCGGGAAACCGGAGCUAAUACCGGAUAAUAUAUUGAACCGCAUGGUUCAAUAGUGAAAGACGGUUUUGCUGUCACUUAUAGAUGGAUCCGCGCCGCAUUAGCUAGUUGGUAAGGUAACGGCUUACCAAGGCAACGAUGCGUAGCCGACCUGAGAGGGUGGUUCGCCACACUUGAACUGAGACACGGUCCAGAAUCCUACGGGAGGCAGCAGUAGGGAAUCUUCCGGCAUGGGCGGAAGGCUGACGGAGCAACGGCGCGUGAGUGGAGAAGGUCUUCGGAUCGUAAAACUCUGUUAUUAGGGAAGAACAAAUGUGUAAGUAACUAUGCACGUCUUGACGGUACCUAAUCAGAAAGCCACGGCUAACUACGUG